rnacentral:rRNA from 1 species
CCCGCUCCCGGUAAAACGGGACGGCCCGCCAGAGGACCCCUAAACUCUGUUUCUAUAUGUAACUUCUGAGUAAAACCAUAAAUAAAUCAAAACUUUCAACAACGGAUCUCUUGGUUCUGGCAUCGAUGAAGAACGCAGCAAAAUGCGAUAAGUAAUGUGAAUUGCAGAAUUCAGUGAAUCAUCGAAUCUUUGAACGCACAUUGCGCCCGCCAGUAUUCUGGCGGGCAUGCCUGUUCGAGCGUCAUUUCAACCCUCAAGCACAGCUUGGUGUUGGGACUCGCGUUAAUUCGCGUUCCUCAAAUUGAUUGGCGGUCACGUCGAGCUUCCAUAGCGUAGUAGUAAAACCCUCGUUACUGGUAAUCGUCGCGGCCACGCCGUUAAACCCCAACUUCUGAAUGUUGACCUCGGAUCAGGUAGGAAUACCCGCUGAACUUAAGCUAU